CUCUUCCUACGGGGCGCAGCAGUGGGGAAUAUUGCACAAUGGGGGAAACCCUGAUGCAGCGACGCCGCGUGAGUGAAGAAGUAUUUCGGUAUGUAAAGCUCUAUCAGCAGGGAAGAAAAAAGACGGUACCUGACUAAGAAGCCCCGGCUAACUACGUGCCAGCAGCCGCGGUAAUACGUAGGGGGCAAGCGUUAUCCGGAAUUACUGGGUGUAGAGGGAGCGUAGACGGCUGUGCAAGUCUGGAGUGAAAGGCGGGGGCCCAACCCCCGGACUGCUCUGGAAACU
rnacentral:rRNA from 1 species